GGUCAAGCGAACAAGGGCUUAUGGUGGAUACCUAGGCACACAGAG
rnacentral:rRNA from 2 species